GUAACUUAAUACCUGCAAUAAAACUAUUUUUUUUUGAUAACCUUGUAUGUAGGCUACCUCAGUCAUCUCCAGGUUGUAAGUGGGGCUCAGCUGUUCUUCUGGGACUGCUUACUUGGCUGCGCUCAUCUCAGCAGGGCUGCAGGAGAUCCAGAAGACACACGGAUGUCCUUCAACAUCUCCACUCAGAGCUUACACAAAGUAACUGUUGUCCACAUUCCAUUUCUCAGAGCAAGCACCCGACCAAAUCCAAAGAAACAGCAUCCUUGCCCUUCCUGCAAGAGUGGAGGGGAAGAAACUGGCAGCAAAUCAGGCUACAGAUGAAGAAAAGCCAAUAAAAUAACAGCAUUGGGCCUGAUGCUGUGGCUCAUUCCUGUAAUCCCAGCAUUUUGGGAGGCUGACAAGGGCAGACCACCUGAAGCCAGGAGUUCCAGACCAGCCUGGUCAACAUAGCAAAACCCUGUCUCUACUCAAAGUACAAAAAAUUAGCCUAGUGUGAUAGUGCAUGCCUGUAAUCCCAGCUACUGGGAGGUGAGGCACCAGAAUCACUUGAACCCAGGAAGUGGAGGUUGCAGAGAGCCAAGAUCAUACCACUGCACACUGCACUCCAGCCUGCGUGACAGGGCAAGACUCUGUCUCAAAAAAAAAAUAACAAUGACAAAACAACAACAACAACAACAACAGCAACAACAAAAACAGCAUGAUUUUGCUUCCUUAGAAAGGACUAUUUGCUAAAUGUGUGAUGUGUGUAAAGGUGCAUAGUUAGGAUAGGUGAUUAGUGCUAUUCUAUGUUUCCUUGGUGUUUCACCCAAGCUUAGUUAGGCUUUUUAUCCAUUAAAGCCUCAUUUUCAUUUUGUAGACAUGAGUAUAAAACAUGUAAACGUAUAAUGAAUACAUUAUUUUAAAAUUAUAAAUUGUUACAAGAUAUUAUAUAUUAUAAUUAUUGUUACUAUUUCAAAGACUGCUUCAUCGUUUGAUAGCAUUUCUUGGGAAUCUCAGGUUUAAAACAAAAAUUGCCAUGAAUCUUAUUCUGUAAAAUUCUUUGAUUAAUUAAUUCAGAGAGCUUUAUUUACCAGAAAAAAAAUCUGAUCAUCAACUAAGUGGUUCAAUAGUUUUGGUCAAGUAGCUCAUCUACAGUACAGCAUUUAUAGUAAAUAAAGUAAAAACAUUUUUAAAGAGUGCUUUACAAUCCUCAAAGCACUUUUAUUACACACAUAUAUAGACACAAAAUACACAUAUCAGGGAAAAAUUAUAAAAUAUCACACUGUGAGUAUUGGCUGGCUGUAUGCCUUAGGUGGCAGCACCAUUCAUAAAGUGCCUAGGAUUUGUCUGUUGUACAUCUUGCUUCCUAAAUCACAGUAAAUUGAGGCAAAACCUUAAAUAACGCUCACUGAUCCACUAAUACCAUUAAAGUUUUUAAGACAGGAUUUCAAAAUCUAUUGCAAUAACAAGCAUCAGUUACAGCUAACCAGAUAUUGCUGAAUGAAAAAAAAAAUGUGUUUGACAUUCACUUUUCCAGGUCUUUCUUUUUCUUUAAAAAAUCAAUUUAUCUUCUUCUAGUAUAAUCCAUUCUAUGGAAUUAGAGUGAAUUAGUAUCAAGCAGAUUACAGCGUCAGUAGAAGAGUUAGCAAAAAGUAAGUUAGUACACACCCCAACAUGUGCUUAAAACUGAUUUCUUUAAUAACUAAUGCUGAAAAUGUAAUGAAGUAUAUAGCAUCAUAAGGCAAAAAAGCAAUAGUUUUAAACACAUUCAAAAAUGAAAACAGUGUCUUAAAAAGAACUAUCGUGCUUUCUUUCUGCUGAAAGGCUGAAAGCUCCUCUAAUUUCAUAAAUAUUUUCCUGCAAUUCUCAUACUAUUUGGAGCUACCAUCAUUGCCAUCUCAUUCUUCUUGUACCCUGAGACUUUCGAAUUGGGAAAUCUUGCUGGCUGUCUUUGCAUGCUCAGAGCUUUCCUACUCUCCAUUCCUUUGGAAUCUAGCUUCCACUCUCUCUCAUUAAAAUCACUCACUCUUUACUUGGUCACAAAAGGCCUCUUUAGACCAAAGCCUAUGGUCUAUUUUCUAUUCCUUUGUUUUUGAUAUGUGCGGAGUUCUAAUUUAUUUUCCACUUUUUCUUCCUUAGGAUCCCUUACUCCCUCAGCUUCCUUGGCACUACCCUCUCUUUACUCCCCUAUCAUCUUUCGAUAUACUCCUUCCAGUCUUUUGGAUUGGUCUCUACUCCUCAAAUACAUACCUCCACCAAAAAUCAAUUUUCAGUUUUCUUCUCAUGAAAGUCUAUACAUGCUUCCUUGGAGAUUUCAGUCAUCUGUUCAGUUUUUUUUUUUUUUUUUUCCAUUAGGCAAUCACUUAUUAUACUUCUAAAAUGAUUCAAGAUAUGUGUAAUAGGCUGUGGAAUACAAAGAUGAAGGUUGCCAUAAAGUAUAAAGAGUUUAAUCAAAUUACCACCUACCUGAUUAUAUAUUUUUGAAAGCUAAAUAUAUGACCUUCACUUGUUGCCUGUGUGCCAAGGUACCACAUCCCUGGGCAUCACUGUUGUAGAGUCAUACCACAUACAGCAAAAAUGAACUCAUCUUGUUUCUUCUAACUUGCCUAAUUCUCUAAAUUUAUCUUUUCUCUCUGCACUAUGACACUGCCCCUGUCACUCAAGUCCAAUGCAUUGGAGUCAUCCUUGAUUGUUUGUUAUCACAUUACCAACAAACAUGAGUAGUUAGGGAGUCCUAUCAGUUAUUUCCGAAUCACACCUGUUAAUCUAUUUCUUCCUUUUCAAUAUUAGUUCUACUAGUCUAUUCAGAGUCCUCACAUGAAGUCAGAGCAACUAAACCAUCUUAUAGUAUUCAAUGGUUGUGCCUAAACUCUGCUCACCUCACAUCUCCAACCCAUUUUACUCUUUAUUGCUAGG
rnacentral:lncRNA from 10 species